CUCUUCAACAUCUCAGGCAAUGUGAACACCCCCUGUACCGUGGAGGAGUCCAAGUCUAUCCCCCUCAAGUUCUUGAUUGAGAAGCACGCUGGUGGUGUAGAGGGGGGUUGGGAUAACCUCUUAGCUGUCAUCCCAGGGGGUUCAUGUACUUCUAUGAUCCCUAAAGAAUCUUCUGCAGGAGGGGAGCUCUGUAGUUCGCUGGCUUCUUGACGUGAACAAAACCAAGCCACCAAACUCUUCAACAUCUCAGGCAAUGUGAACACCCCCUGUACCGUGGAGGAGUCCAAGUCUACCCCCCUCAAGUUCUUGAUUGAGAAGCACGCUGGUGGUGUAGAGGGGGGUUGGGAUAACCUCUUAGCUGUCAUCCCAGGGGGUUCAUGUACUUCUAUGAUCCCUAAAGAAUCAUCUACAGGAGGGGAGCUCUGUGGUUCGCUGGCUUCUGACGUGAACAAAACCAAGCCACCAAACUCUUCAACAUCUCAGGCAAUGUGAACACCCCCUGUACCGUGGAGGAGUCCAAGUCUAUCCCCCUCAAGUUCUUGAUUGAGAAGCACGCUGGUGGUGUAGAGGGGGGUUGGGAUAACCUCUUAGCUGUCUACCCAGGGGGUUCAUGUACUUCUAUGAUCCCUAAAGAAUCAUCUGCAGGAGGGGAGCUCUGUAGUUCGCUGGCUUCUGACGUGAACAAAACCAAGCCACCAAACUCUUCAACAUCUCAGGCAAUGUGAACACCCCCUGUACCGUGGAGGAGUCCAAGUCUAUCCCCCUCAAGUUCUUGAUUGAGAAGCACGCUAGUGGUGUAGAGGGGGGUUGGGAUGUCUACCCAGGGGGUUCAUGUACUUCUAUGAUCCCUAAAGAAUCUUCUGCAGGAGGGGAGCUCUGUAGUUCGCUGGCUUCUUGACGUGAACAAAACCAAGCCACCAAACUCUUCAACAUCUCAGGCAAUGUGAACACCCCCUGUACCGUGGAGGAGUCCAAGUCUACCCCCCUCAAGUUCUUGAUUGAGAAGCACGCUGGUGGUGUAGAGGGGGGUUGGGAUAACCUCUUAGCUGUCAUCCCAGGGGGUUCAUGUACUUCUAUGAUCCCUAAAGAAUCAUCUACAGGAGGGGAGCUCUGUGGUUCGCUGGCUUCUGACGUGAACAAAACCAAGCCACCAAACUCUUCAACAUCUCAGGCAAUGUGAACACCCCCUGUACCGUGGAGGAGUCCAAGUCUAUCCCCCUCAAGUUCUUGAUUGAGAAGCACGCUGGUGGUGUAGAGGGGGGUUGGGAUAACCUCUUAGCUGUCUACCCAGGGGGUUCAUGUACUUCUAUGAUCCCUAAAGAAUCAUCUACAGGAGGGGAGCUCUGUGGUUCGCUGGCUUCUGACG